AGCAGCCGCGGUAAUUCCAGCUCCAAUAGCGUAUAUUAAAGUUGUUGCAGUUAAAAAGCUCGUAGUUGAAUUUCGGGAUCAAUAUGUCGGUCGUGCCUUCGGUACGUACUGGUAUCAUUGGUCUCUCCUUUCUGACGAACCAUGAUGUCAUUAAUUUGGUGUUAUGGGGAGUUAGGACUGUUACUUUGAAAAAAUUAGAGUGUUUAAAGCAGGCUUUAGCUUGAAUACAUUAGCAUGGAAUAAUGAAAUAGGACGUUCGAACCUAUUUUGUUGGUUUCUAGGAUCAACGUAAUGAUUAAUAGGGAUAGUUGGGGGCAUUAGUAUUCAAUUGUCAGAGGUGAAAUUCUUGGAUUUAUUGAAGACUAACUACUGCGAAAGCAUUUGCCAAGGAUGUUUUCAUUAAUCAAGAACGAAAGUUAGGGGAUCGAAGACGAUCAGAUACCGUCGUAGUCUUAACCAUAAACUAUGC
rnacentral:rRNA from 1 species